CCUACGGGGCGCAGCAGUGAGGAAUAUUGGUCAAUGGCCGGAAGGCUGAACCAGCCAAGCCGCGUGAAGGACGAAGGUGCCAAGCAUUGUAAACUUCUUUUGUCAAGGGACAAAAUCAGGCUCGAGAGCCUGACCGAGGGUACUUGAAGAAAAAGCAUCGGCUAACUCCGUGCCAGCAGCCGCGGGAAUACGGAGGAUGCGAGCGUUAUCCGGAUUUAUUGGGUUUAAAGGGUGCGUAGGCGGGCUGUUAUGUCAGCGGUAAAAGCCCGGGGCUCAACCCCGGCGAGCCGUUGAAACUGGCGGUCUUGAGAUGUCGAGAGGUAUGCGGAAUGCGCAGUGUAGCGGUGAAAUGCUUAGAUAUUGCGAAGAACUCCGAUUGCGAAGGCAGCAUACCGGCGGCGAUCUGACGCUGAGGCACGAAAGCGUGGGUAUCGAACAGGAUUAGAUACCCUAGUAGUC
rnacentral:rRNA from 1 species